rnacentral:rRNA from 1 species
UAGGGAAUCUUCGGCAAUGGGGGGAACCCUGACCGAGCAACGCCGCGUGAGUGAAGAAGGUUUUCGGAUCGUAAAGCUCUGUUGUUAAGGAAGAACGAGUGUGAGAAUGGAAAGUUCAUACUGUGACGGUACUUAACCAGAAAGGGACGGCUAACUACGUGCCAGCAGCCGCGGUAAUACGUAGGUCCCGAGCGUUGUCCGGAUUUAUUGGGCGUAAAGCGAGCGCAGGCGGUUAGAUAAGUCUGAAGUUAAAGGCAGUGGCUCAACCAUUGUGGGCUUUUGAAACUGUUUAACUUGAGUGCAGAAGGGAGGAGUGGAAUUCCAUGUGUAGCGGUGAAAUGCGUAGAUAUAUGGAGGAACACCAGUGACGAGGGCGACUCUCUGGUCUGUAACUGACGCGGAGGCUCGAAAGCGUGGGUAGCAAACAGG